UACGGAAGGCAGCAGUGGGGAAUAUUGCACAAUGGGCGCAAGCCUGAUGCAGCCAUGCCGCGUGUAUGAAGAAGGCCUUCGGGUUGUAAAGUACUUUCAGUCGUGAGGAAGGUGUUAAGGUUAAUAACCUUAGCAAUUGACGUUAGCGACAGAAGAAGCACCGGCUAACUCCGUGCCAGCAGCCGCGGUAAUACGGAGGGUGCGAGCGUUAAAUCGGAAUUACUGGGCGUAAAGGGCACGCAGGCGGUUAAUUAAGUUGGAUGUGAAAUCCCCGGGCUUAACCUGGGAAUGGCAUUCAAGACUGGUUAGCUAGAGUCUUGUAGAGGGGGUAGAAUUCCAUGUGUAGCGGUGAAAAUGCGUAGAGAUGUGGAGGAAUACCGGUGGCGAAAGGCGGCCCCUGGACAAAAGACUGACGCUCAUGUGCGAAAGCGUGGGGAGCAAAACAGGAUUAGAUACC
rnacentral:rRNA from 1 species